GAGCAAAAAGCUGGCUGGAGGGUGGCAAGGGGAAAAGGCCCUCAGAGAACAGAGAAGAAAAUCCCAACAAGACGGUAACAGCAGCCGGGUGAUGUGAGGUGAAGGUGAGAGACAGAGAACCAAAGGAAGGCAAGGAAAGCAACCUGAAGUUCUGCUGCUGCAAGGUGGAGGCGUGUCACCUUUGAGCCUCUGGAGGAGACAGGAGGUUGGAAAUUAAAGACUCUGACAUUGACCAAGAUGACAGCCAUGUGUACCGCCAGACCAGAGAUCCAGCCGUGA